AGUAGCGCUGGGUGGUUGCUAACGCGCCAGCGAGCCGCGAAGAUAGGGGGCGGGGAAGAAGGAGGACGUGUCCCCCUCCCUCAUUCACGUUCAGACAUUUACCUGAACUUAUCACCUUCCCACCCCCAUCCUAUCCCAUCAAGUCUUUGCUCUAUCCUGAACCGGCUGACAGAACAUUGGUGUAGACUUGUUUUUGCCAACCUGGAAUAAAGCAAAGUUCUUGUGCACCCAAGAUCUGCUCUCCGUUGUAAGUCCUGCUCAGACCUGGUCUUAUUGGUUUGGAUAAAGAAAGAACCGGAAUCUUUCUCAUCCAAACUAGUUGCCAGCAUAUUUUUUAAGGCUACCUCCCUUCAAAUAUAAAAGGAGACGUUGAAUGUAAUCUCAAAUAAAUUAAAAGCCCUGGAAGUUUACACACAAGGAGGCAUUCUCUCUCCUAGGGGCACAAAAUUGUUUAAAAUUUGCAGAUAGGGUUCUUAAACACGAAGGUCCUUUUG